CUUGCAGGGGCUUCCAUGGGUUCAAGAGAAGUUCCAGUUUUAGGGAGAGAGAGGAAGGACCGGUGGAGUGACCAAAUUGGUUAUAAUACCUCCAGGUCUAACACAUACAACAUGAUUGAAAGACUUGCUAUGGGUUUGAUGCUUGCAGGAUUGAGUAAAUUGCUAUGCACGUUAUAAACAAAUUGAAAUGGGAUUUGGGUCUUAUUCACUGUAUUGUUUGUGGAAGAAAAGAGCUUGCUUUGGCACAAUUGGAGAAAAGGGCAAUGAUAAGAUGUGAUCUGAUUGCAAAUAUACAGAGACAAAGGAAUGGAAUAAGAGGAAGGGGCGGCAGCCGUGGGAGGCAGAGCGACGGCAGAGGAUUGAGUGUGAGCGAUUGUUGCUGGGAAAAUUUCUCUGCUAAUUGUUUUUUUAAUUUCCAAGGAUAAAAUUGGAGUUUCAAAUCUAGCUAGAACAAAAAGUUUAAUUUCUUAUAAAAAUAAUACACAUGGCAAAUUUUGAGUGGAAGUAUCACCAGCUGACGUGGUGAUACC
rnacentral:lncRNA from 1 species